UACAUAAGUGAGCAUCGUCAAUGAUAAGA
rnacentral:sRNA from 1 species